rnacentral:rRNA from 1 species
UACAGAGGGGGCAAGCGUUAUUCGGAAUUAUUGGGCGUAAAGAGCUCGUAGGCGGUUUGUCGCGUCUGCUGUGAAAACCCAGGGCUUAACCCUGGGCCUGCAGUGGGUACGGGCAAACUAGAGUGCGGUAGGGGAGAUCGGAAUUCCUGGUGUAGCGGUGAAAUGCGCAGAUAUCAGGAGGAACACCGGUGGCGAAGGCAGCUCUCUGGUACGUGACUGACACUGAGACGCGAAAGCGUGGGGAGCGAACAGG